rnacentral:rRNA from 1 species
CCCUUAGAUGUUCUGGGCCGCACGCGCGCUACACUGAGCCCUUCAUCGAGUUUACAACCUUGGCCGGUAGGUCUGGGUAAUCUUCUCAAAGGGGCUCGCGCUGGGGAUAGAUUAUUGUAAUUUUUAAUCUUCAACGAGGAAUUCCUAGUAAACGCAAGUCAACAGCUUGCAUUGAUUACGUCCCUGCCCUUUGUACACACCGCCCGUCGCUACUACCGAUUGAAUGGCUUAGUGAGCCCGAGGGACUGUUGCACCUAGAGGGUUUUCUCUCCAGGAGCAGCCGGGAACUCGGUCAAACUUGAUCAUUUAGAGGAAGUAAAAGUCGUAACA